AGAAGAGCUGGCAAAGAGAGAUGAAUAGGCUAGGCAAAGCACCACGAAGAAGGAAACAGGCAAAACUCAAUAGGAAGGCUGCUCUUUCACCAUAUUUUUAAAUUCACAGCAUUUUUUUUUACUGAAAUAUUCUCAUUUAUAGAGGCGUUUUGCUUCUAAACCCUGAUUGGCAUUGGAUCUGAGCAGUGAUUAUGCAUGAAGAAGCCAAGUUAAUGACGACAUCAUGACGGCCUCAUUUUGAGAAGCUGCAGAAGCGUACAGCUCAGAAGCGCUCGGCUUGCCUUUAACUCCAGACCAAAGCGGCGAUGAAUCAACAGUGAUGUGUGCAACAGUACAGGUUGAUGUCGCGCGCAUCGAGACAUCCUUACGUGGAAAGAGGAAAGAAAGAAGAAAGAAUCAAAAAGGAGAGAAAAAGUUUGUGCACUUGCUGCCACUGUUGCUAAAAAUACACUGCCCACAUCUUCCGCUCAGUUGCCUCUCUCAUGGUGGAGUAUGUGGUUCUUCCUAGAGUUUUCACCCUUCCUUUUUCCAUUUGAUCAUCUAACAGCAGAGGUUCUAUCAGUGACAGCAGCUUAAAUUCUGAACAUUUUAAAAGUCCUUUUAAAAGACCUCAAUACAUGUUGAUCUAAUUAUUAAUGUGGAGUCAAAUGUAAAUGUAUUGAUCAUUAAUUAGUAAAUGCUGAGAGUAAAUUAG